rnacentral:rRNA from 1 species
GUGCCAGCAGCCGCGGUAAUACGAAGGGGGCUAGCGUUGUUCGGAAUCACUGGGCGUAAAGGGCGCGUAGGCGGCUUUGUAAGUCGGGGGUGAAAGCCUGUGGCUCAACCACAGAAUUGCCUUCGAUACUGCAUGGCCUUGAGACCGGAAGAGGUAAGUGGAACUGCGAGUGUAGAGGUGAAAUUCGUAGAUUUCGCAAGAACACCAGUGGCGAAGGCGGCUUACUGGUCCGGUUCUGACGCUGAGGCGCGAAAGCGUUGGGGAGCAAAACAGGAUUAGAUACCCUGGUUAUGUCC